rnacentral:rRNA from 1 species
CCCUUAGAUGUUCUGGGCCGCACGCGUGCUACGCUGAUGCAUUCAACGAGUCUAAAACCUGGUCUGAUAGGGCUGGGUAAUCUUUUGAAAGUGCAUCGUGAUUGGGAUAGAUGAUUGCAAUUCUUCAUCUUCAACGAGGAGUGCCUAGUAAACGCAAGUCAUCAGCUUGCAUUGAUUACGUCCCUGCCCUUUGUACACACCGCCCGUCGCUCCUACCGAUUGAAUGAUCCGAUGAAUACCAUGGAUUGAGAGUACGAAUAGGUUCGCUUAUUUCUGCUGCUCGAGAAGUGGAGUAAAUCUUAUCAUUUAGAGGAAGGAGAAGUCGUAACA